AACGAACGCUGGCGGCAGGCUUAACACAUGCAAGUCGAACGGGUGUAGCAAUACAUCAGUGGCAGACGGGUAAGUAACACGUGGGAACCUUCCUAGGGGUACGGAACAACUCAGGGAAACUUGAGCUAAUACCGUAUACGUCCGUGAGGAGAAAGAUUUAUCGCCCUUAGACGGGCCCGCGUCGGAUUAGCUAGUUGGUGGGGUAACGGCCUACCAGGGCGACGAUCCGUAGCUGAUCUUAGAGGAUGAUCAGCCACACUGGGACUGAGACACGGCCCAGACUCCUACGGGAGGCAGCAGUGGGGAAUCUUGGACAAUGGGCGCAAGCCUGAUCCAGCCAUGCCGCGUGAGUGAAGAAGGUCUUCGGAUUGUAAAGCUCUUUUGCCAGGGACGAUAAUGACGGUACCUGGAGAAUAAGCCCCGGCAAACUUCGUGCCAGCCGCCGCUGUAACAC
rnacentral:rRNA from 1 species